GUUCUAAGUGAAUUCCCUCGGUAUGAUAAUUUGUUCAUCAGUUUGUUCCCCGUUUCUUCUCUAGCCUGAGCCUGACACACUAUUCUAGCUAGACAUGGGUGUGGCUCGUAACACCUGAUGACCAAACGGAUCUACGACACCAUCGAAUCUCAAACUUUAACUACCAAAACUAUUGUUUUUCAUCCUCUAGUCCCUUUUAGAAUUACUAAACGUCCUUUUUUGGGCCGAGAUUUCCAGGAACGCUUUCUCGGGGUUUGUGUGCAUGUAUUUCAAACCAUACAGACCUAAAAAUUAGAAGUCAUUCCAUCUUUAUUCCCGUAGAGCCUUCCAGCAGUUCCUAAACCGCUCCAGUCGGAGCAUGUUAUCAUUCUUGUUUGUUCUGAGUGAAUUCCCUCGGUAUGAUAAUUCUAUCAUCAGUUUGUUCCCCGUUUCUUCUCUAGCCUGAGCCUGGCAAACUAUUCUAGCUAGACAUGGGUGUGGCUCGUAACACCUGAUGACCAAACGGAUCUACGACACCAUCGAAUCUCAAACUUUAACUACCAAAACUAUUGUUUUUCAUUCUAUAGUCCCUUCUAGAAUUUCUAAACGUCCUUUUUUGGGCCGAGAUUUCCAGGAAUGCUUUCUCGGGGUUUGUGUGCAAGUAUUUCAAAUCAUACGGACCUAAAAAUUAGAAGUCAUUCCAUCUUUAUUCCCCUAGAGCCUUCCAGUAGUUCCUAAACCGCUCCAGUCGGAGCACGUUAUCAUUCUUGUUAGUUCAUAGUGAAUUCCCUCGGUAUGAUAAUUCUUUCAUCAGUUUGUUCCCCGUUUCUUCUCUAGCCUGAGCCUGGCACAGUAUUCUAGCUAGACAUGGGUGUGGUCGUAACACCUGAUGACUAAAUGGAUCGACGGCACCAUCGAAUCUCAAACUUUAACUGCCAAAACUAUUGUUUUUCAUCCUGUAAUCCCAUUUAGAAUUACUAAACGUCCUUUUUUGGGCCGAGAUUUAGAGGAACGCUUUGUUGGGGUUUGUGUGCAAGUAUUUCAAACCAUACGGACCUAAAAAUUAGAACUCAUUCCAUAUUUAUUCCCCUUGAGCCUUCCAGCAGUUCCUAAACCGCUCUAGUCGGAGCACGUUAUCAUUCUUGUUAGUUCUAAGAGAAUUCCCUCGGUAUGAUAAUUCUUUUAUCAGUUUGUUCCCCGUUUCUUCUCUAGACUGGGCCCGACACACUAUUCUAGCUAGACAUGGGUGUGGCUCGUAACACCUGAUGACCAAACGGAUCUACGGCACCAUCGAAUCUCAAACUUCAACUGCCAAAACUAUUGUUUUUCAUCCUGUAGUCCCUUUUAGAAUUACUAAACGUCCUUUUUUGGGCCGAGAUUUCCAGGAACGCUUUCUCGGGGUUUGUGUGCAAGUAUUUCAAACCAUACGGACCUAAAAAUUAGAAGUCAUUCCAUCUUUAUUCCCGUAGAGCCAUCCAGCAGUUCCUAAACCGCUCCAGUCGGAGCACGUUAUCAUUCUUGUUAGUUCUGAGUGAAUUCCCUCGGUAUGAUAAUUCUUUCAUCAGUUUGUUCCCCGUUUCUUCUCUAGCCUGAGCCUGACAAACUAUUAUAGCUAGACAUGGGUGUGGCUCGUAACACCUGAUGACCAAACGGAUCUAUGGCACCAUCGAAUCUCAAACUUUAACUGCCAAAACUAUUGUUUUUCAUCCUGUAGUCCCUUUUAGAAUUACUAAACGCCCUUCUUUGGGACGAGAUUUCCAGGAACGCUUUCUCGGGGUUUGUGUGAAAGUAAUUCAAACCAUACGGACCUAAAAAUUAGAAGUCAUUCCAUCUUUAUUCCCGUGGAGCCUUCCAGUAGUUCCUAAACCGCUCCAGUCGGAGCACGUUAUCAUUCUUGUUAGUUCUGAGUGAAUUCCCUCGGUAUGAUAAUUCUUUCAUCAGUUUGUUCCCUGUUUCUUCUCUAGCCUGAGCCUGGCACACUAUUCUAGCUAGACAUGGGUGUGGCUCGUAACACCUGAUGACUAAACUGAUCAAUGACACCAUCGAAUCUCAAACUUUAACUGCCAAAACUAUUGUUUUUCAUCCUGUAGUCCCAUUUAGAAUUACUAAACGUCCUUUUUUGGGCCGAGAUUUCCAGGAACGCUUACUCGGGGUUUGUGUGCAAGUAUUUCAAACCAUACUGACCUAAAAAUUAGAAGUCAAUCCAUCUUUAUUCCCCUAGAGCCUUCCAGCAGUUCCUAAACCGCUCCAGUCGGAGCACGUUAUCAUUCUUGUUAGUUCUGAGUGAAUUCCCUCGGUAUGAUAAUUCUUUCAUCAGUUUGUUCCUUGUUUCUUCUCUAGCCUGAACCUGACACACUAUUCUAGCUAGACAUGGGUGUGGCUCGUAACACCUGAUGACCAAACGGAUCUACGGCACCAUCGAAUCUCAAACUUUAACUGCCAAAACUAUUAUUUUUAAUCCUCUAGUCCCAUUUAGAAUUACUAAACGUCCUUUUUUGGGCCGAGAUUUAGAGGAACGCUUUCAUGCGGUUUGUGUGCAAGUAUUUCAAACCAUACGGACCUAAAAAUUAGAAGUCAUUCCAUCUUUAUUCCCCUAGAGCCUUCCAGCAGUUCCUAAACCGCUCCAGUCGGAGCAUGUUAUCAUUCUUGUUAGUUCUGAGUGAAUUCCCUCGGUAUGAUAAUUCUUUCAUCAGUUUGUGGCCCGUUUCUUCUCUAGCCUGAGCCUGACACACUAUUCUAGCUAGACGUGGGUGUGGCUCGUAACACCUGAUGACCAAACGGAUCUACGGCACCAUCGAAUCUCAAACUUUAAGUGCCAAAACUAUUAUUUUUAAUCCUGUAGUCCCAUUUAGAAUUAC
rnacentral:lncRNA from 1 species